GGGCUCAGGGCCAGGGCCCGCCUCCAGGGGGCGGUGUGCGCCCCCGGCGCUGGAGCAGCCGCGUUUCGGGGACCCGGGCAGGCGUGGGGGGCUGCGCUGAGCUCCAGGCCUCCUGCAGCUGUGCCUUAACUUCCUCGAAAGACAACAUCAGUGCUGGCGGGCCUCAAGAAGAGCCAUCCCAAGGUAUUGACUAGGCAUCAGCGUCUUCACCAGGGCAACACAGAACAUCCCUGCAGAGUUCCUGGUGGCUGCAGUGGCUGGUAGGGGAUGUAUGCCUGCUUUCCAUCAGAUUCCCAAAGCGGAGCCCCUGGAGGCUUUGGCCCAUGGCCCUGAAGCUCCCUUUCACAAGGAAGAAAGACUUUGCAAAGCCAACACCACUAUUGGAGAGAAAGUGGAGAAUGUGUAUUAGAAGUACUAGUCUUUGAAGGCAAAACAGCUGUAUAGAGUGAGCUUAAGUGCUGGAUCCCUGUGGUUAGGAAGGGACACUAAGCCUCCGGGAUGUGAGAGUCCCAUGGAAGGCAGUAGGCCCAGGAUAAAGCAGGUGUCAGCUCAGAAAGCCCACCAUCACCCAGAAAAGGGAAGAAAUACGCUACCACCAUCACUCUUUCUGCCAAUGACUUCUUUGCACACCUCCACCCUAUCUCCUGGCUCAGUCUCCCAUGUUCUCAUAGCUAGGGAGGUCUCCAUUGUAAUUUGUAUGGGGAGGUUAACCUAUAGGCCAUUCUGAUGAUCCCAGCUCCCUUUCACUACAACCCCCGUCUGCAUCCUUUGCUUUGCAGUAGGAUUUGAGAGAGGAAGGAUGAAGAUGUAGCCACAGGAUACAUUUAAACAGGCACAGAGUUUGAGGGGUGGGGGGGAACAAAAGCAAAACAAUAAAACCUUCACCAGUCAUUAAAGAAAUGAAAAUGAACCUUUUGAGAUUGUCAAUUUUUAUCUGCUAAGUCAAGAAAAGCUAAUUUAAUUCCUGGCAAUUUCACAAUAAAAAAAAUUGUGCUAGCUCUUGGUGGCAUUGUAAGUAGUUAAAGGCUUUUUGGGAAGUAAUUUGAAAUACAUCAAGUCUUGAAAAUGAUUAUACCAGUGGAUCCAAUCAUCUCGCUGGUGGAAAUUCAUCUGAAGGAAAUGAUUCAGUGGAAAAAACAACCCGUCUACACUUGUUGCACCUAAAUGUCCAGGAAUAAGGGAAUGACAGAAGAAAUCUCAGCACAUUCUCUGAAUGGAACAGAAACCGAGCGUUUGGAACUAGAAUUGCGCAGACUGAAUUGAAUAUGGAAGUGGCUUUAAAUGGCAUGUUAGGUGGAAACACUGGAUGUCUGGUUGAAAUUUGGUAAGACACACAUUCCCAUGGUCAGAAUCGGAAAAUUUCAACAAAUGAAAAUCAUGGGGUUCACAAAGAGGUGUUGUGGGUUAUAGAAAGCUAUUUUCAAAAAUUUCUUUAAUGAUUCAAAAUUGUUUUUCAAAAAAAG
rnacentral:lncRNA from 1 species